CAAAAAAUUAAAUUCCAGCGUACAUAAGCCAACACGACCUUCACUUACCUGAGAUGACUGUAAGAGAAACAAUUGAGUUGUCAGCCCGCUGUCAACGUAUUGGAAGCAGAGCUGAUAUAAUGCUAGAGGUUAGCAGGAGAGAAGGAAGCAGGAAUUGUUCCUGAUCCAGAUAUUGACACCUACAUGAAGGCAAUCUCAGUUGAAGGACAAAAGAAAAACCUCCAAACUGACUAUGUUUUGAAGUUGAUCUUCUGUGGUUUUUCACUAUUAAUCCUAAGCUGUUACAAUAUGAAGUGAAUGCCAGAUGCGGCAUGUCUCAACACCAGAUGAACCAACUGAUGGAAUUUAAUGUAUUUUUGUUGUCCAACCAUUUUUGUAACCAGUAUCAAAAGCAACUUUGGUUAGAAUGUUGAAUUUUUGAAAAUCGUAAAUAGCCAAGCUUAGUCUGUUUGGAACUUCGAUUUUUGAAACAUGUAAAUAUAUGAAUCUGGUUAGAACACCAGAUUUUGAAAUAUGUAAAUAUACAUCGUUCAAUGAAAAAUGUACGCAUAUACCCGUAGCAUCCUGCGAGAUGUCUAGCUAGACUCCAAGUUAACCUGUAUGGCAGUUUAUCAGUUCAGUUUAU